GAUGAAGAACGCAGCGAAAUGCGAUAAGUAAUGUGAAUUGCAGAAUUCAGUGAAUCAUCGAAUCUUUGAACGCACCUUGCGCCCUUUGGCUAUUCUGAAGGGCAUGCCUGUUUGAGUAUCAUGAACACCUCAACUCUCAUGGUUUGCCAUGAUGAGCUUGGACUUUGGGGGUCUUGCUGGCCUGUGGUCAGCUCCUCUCAAAUGAAUUAGCUUUCCAGUGUUUGGUUGGCAUCACAGGUGUGAUAACUAUCUACGCUUGUGGUUUCCACCAGGUAACCUUCAGUAACAUGGGGGUUUGCUGGAGCUCAUAAAUGUCUCUCCUCAGUGGGGACAGCUCUUUGAACGUUUGAUCUCAAAUCAGGUAGGACUACCCGCUGAACUUAAGCAUAUCAAUAAGCGGAGGA
rnacentral:misc_RNA from 1 species